UACGUAGGGUGCGAGCGUUAAUCGGAAUUACUGGGCGUAAAGCGUGCGCAGGCGGUUUUGUAAGCCAGAUGUGAAAUCCCCGGGCUCAACCUGGGAAUGGCAUUUGGGACUGCAAGGCUGGAGUGCGGCAGAGGAGACUGGAAUUCCUGGUGUAGCAGUGAAAUGCGUAGAUAUCAGGAGGAACACCGAUGGCGAAGGCAGGUCUCUGGGCCACUACUGACGCUGAGAAGCGAAAGCGUGGGGAGCGAACAGG
rnacentral:rRNA from 1 species